rnacentral:rRNA from 1 species
GAUGAACGCUGGCGGCGUGCUUAACACAUGCAAGUCGAACGAGAACCAAUGGAUUGAGGAUUCGUCCAAAUGAAGUUGGGGAAAAUGGCGGACGGGUGAGUAACGCGUGAGCAAUCUGCCUUGGAGUGGGGAAUAACGGUUGGAAACAGCCGCUAAUACCGCAUGAUACAGCUAUCCCGCAUGGGGUUGGCUGUCAAAGAUUUAUCGCUCUGAGAUGAGCUCGCGUCUAAUUAGCUAGUUGGCGGGGCAACGGCCCACCAAGGCGACGAUCAGUAGCCGGACUGAGAGGUUGGCCGGCCACAUUGGGACUGAGACACGGCCCAGACUCCUACGGGAGGCAGCAGUGGGGAAUAUUGGGCAAUGGGCGCAAGCCUGACCCAGCAACGCCGCGUGAAGGAAGAAGGCUUUCGGGUUGUAAACUUCUUUUCUGGGGGACGAACAAAUGACGGUACCCCAGGAAUAAGCCACGGCUAACUACGUGCCAGCAGCCGCGGUAAUACGUAGGUGGCAAGCGUUAUCCGGAUUUAUUGGGUGUAAAGGGCGUGUAGGCGGGAAUGCAAGUCAGAUAUGAAAACUAUGGGCUCAACCCAUAGCCUGCAUUUGAAACUGUAUUUCUUGAGUGCUGGAGAGGCAAUCGGAAUUCCGUGUGUAGCGGUGAAAUGCGUAGAUAUACGGAGGAACACCAGUGGCGAAGGCGGAUUGCUGGACAGUAACUGACGCUGAGGCGCGAAAGCGUGGGGAGCAAACAGGAUUAGAUACCCUGGUAGUCCACGCCGUAAACGAUGGAUACUAGGUGUGGGGGGACUGACCCCCUCCGUGCCGCAGCUAACGCAAUAAGUAUCCCACCUGGGGAGUACGAUCGCAAGGUUGAAACUCAAAGGAAUUGACGGGGGCCCGCACAAGCGGUGGAGUAUGUGGUUUAAUUCGAAGCAACGCGAAGAACCUUACCAGGGCUUGACAUCCUACUAACGAAACAGAGAUGUAUCAGGUGCCCUUCGGGGAAAGUAGAGACAGGUGGUGCAUGGUUGUCGUCAGCUCGUGUCGUGAGAUAUUGGGUUAAGUCCCGCAACGAGCGCAACCCCUAUUGUUAGUUGCUACGCAAGAGCACUCUAGCGAGACUGCCGUUGACAAAACGGAGGAAGGUGGGGACGACGUCAAAUCAUCAUGCCCCUUACGUCCUGGGCCACACACGUACUACAAUGGCGGCCAACAAAGAGAGGCAAGACCGCGAAGUGGAGCAAAUCUCAAAAAGCCGUCCCAGUUCGGAUCGCAGGCUGCAACCCGCCUGCGUGAAGUUGGAAUCGCUAGUAAUCGCGGAUCAGCAUGCCGCGGUGAAUACGUUCCCGGGCCUUGUACACACCGCCCGUCACACCAUGAGAGUCGGGAACACCCGAAGUCCGUAGCCUGACCGCAAGGGGGGCGCGGCCGAAGGUGGGUUCGAUAAUUGGGGUGAAGUCGUAACAAGGUAGCCGUAUCGGAAGGUGCGGCUGGAUCACCUCCUUUCUAAGGAGACUUCGAUGAGACGAGAGCUCAUCGUAACGUCCUGGUCAGACUUCUGGUGCAGUUUUUUCGUUGUUUAAUUUAGAGGGCGCAAGCCUCUAUUAGAGAUACUCGGGGGUAUAGCUCAGCUGGUAGAGCACCUGCUUUGCAAGCAGGGGGUCAUCGGUUCGAGUCCGAUUAUCUCCACCAACGGGCCAAUAGCUCAGCUGGCUAGAGCACACGACUGAUAAUCGUGAGGUCGGUGGUUCGAGUCCACUUUGGCCCACCAAGCGCUAAGAGCGGAUCUCAGCACCCAACAGAAGUUGGAUGCCGAGAUCUGACCUUAACAAAGGUCGGGAGCCGCACCUUGAAAACUGAACAAUGUGAAUGAUGAUUCCAGAUGGAAGAGCAAGCAACAGAGUAGAAGCAAAAAUUAUGGAAACUUUGAUCUGAACAGGAAACUGUUUGGAAUAUGGGUAAAAACAAUGUAGCCAAAAAUCUCUGAAGCCUGCAUGAUUCUUAUUUUAGAGAACCAAGAAUGGUUCGGACUAGGCCAGACCCAACAGGGUCUAGCCGCGAGGUCAAGCUGAUAAGAGCGCAAGGGGAAUGCCUUGGCAUCAGGAGCCGAUGAAGGUCGUGACAAGCUGCGAUAAGCUUCGGGGAGCCGCAAAUAGGCUUCGAUCCGGAGAUCACCGAAUGGGGAAACCCGAUGGAGCAAUACUCCAUCAGCGUGCGUUGAAUCAAAUAGGCGUACGUGGGGAACCGCCUGAACUGAAACAUCUAAGUAGGGCGAGGAAGAGAAAUCAACCGAGAUCCCGCUAGUAGUGGCGAGCGAACGCGGGAGAGGGCAAACCGGCGGAUCUAUCCGCCGGGGUUGUGGACAGUCAUUUAGCAGUAGAAGCUAAGAGAACGGUAUGGGAAGGCCGGCCAUAGCAGGUGAGAGCCCUGUAUCCGAAAGCGGAAGCUGUGAGACUGUAUCCAGAGUACCGCGGGACACGUGAAACCCCGUGGGAAGCCGGGGGGACCACCCUCCAACCCUAAAUACUACCUGAUGACCGAUAGAGGAGC